GCUAUACAUGCAAGUCGAGCGAAUGGAUUAAGAGCUUGCUCUUAUGAAGUUAGCGGCGGACGGGUGAGUAACACGUGGGUAACCUGCCCAUAAGACUGGGAUAACUCCGGGAAACCGGGGCUAAUACCGGAUAACAUUUUGAACCGCAUGGUUCGAAAUUGAAAGGCGGCUUCGGCUGUCACUUAUGGAUGGACCCGCGUCGCAUUAGCUAGUUGGUGAGGUAACGGCUCACCAAGGCAACGAUGCGUAGCCGACCUGAGAGGGUGAUCGGCCACACUGGGACUGAGACACGGCCCAGACUCCUACGGGAGGCAGCAGUAGGGAAUCUUCCGCAAUGGACGAAAGUCUGACGGAGCAACGCCGCGUGAGUGAUGAAGGCUUUCGGGUCGUAAAACUCUGUUGUUAGGGAAGAACAAGUGCUAGUUGAAUAAGCUGGCACCUUGACGGUACCUAACCAGAAAGCCACGGCUAACUACGUGCCAGCAGCCGCGGUAAUACGUAGGUGGCAAGCGUUAUCCGGAAUUAUUGGGCGUAAAGCGCGCGCAGGUGGUUUCUUAAGUCUGAUGUGAAAGCCCACGGCUCAACCGUGGAGGGUCAUUGGAAACUGGGAGACUUGAGUGCAGAAGAGGAAAGUGGAAUUCCAUGUGUAGCGGUGAAAUGCGUAGAGAUAUGGAGGAACACCAGUGGCGAAGGCGACUUUCUGGUCUGUAACUGACACUGAGGCGCGAAAGCGUG
rnacentral:rRNA from 2 species